rnacentral:pre_miRNA from 1 species
UAUGUAUUCCCUUUGUCCCAAAAAUUUUGUCUUGAAUUUAUCUAGAUAUGAGUGUAUCUAAUCAUGUUUUAGUAUUUAAAUAUAUUUAUUUUUAAACAAACAUAAGGCAAGAAUUUUGGGAUGAAGAAAGUAUGAC